GCCAGUGAAUUGUAAUACGACUCACUAUAGGGCGAAUUGGGCCCUCUAGAUGCAUGCUCGAGCGGCCGCCAGUGUGAUGGAUAUCUGCAGAAUUCGCCCUUCAGGCCUAACACAUGCAAGUCGAACGCCCUCUUCGGAGGGAGUGGCAGACGGGUGAGUAACACGUGGGAACGUGCCCGAAGGUACGGAACAACUCCGGGAAACUGGAGCUAAUACCGUAUGUGUCCGCAAGGAGAAAGAUUUAUCGCCUUCGGAUCGSCCCGCGUCAGAUUAGCUAGUUGGUGGGGUAAAAGCCUACCAAGGCGACGAUCUGUAGCUGUUCUUAUGAGGAGGAAGACCAGCCACACUGGGACUGAGACACGGACCAGACUCCUACGGGAGGCAGCAGUGGGGAAUCUUGGACAAUGGGCGCAAGCCUGAUCCAGCCAUGCCGCGUGGAUGACGAAGGCCUUAGGGUUGUAAAAUCCUUUCAGCGGGGACGAUAAUGACG
rnacentral:rRNA from 1 species